AUCAAGCUGACGAGUCCCAUAUAGGACAAAACACGCGUCCUGGAU
rnacentral:hammerhead_ribozyme from 1 species